rnacentral:rRNA from 1 species
GACGAACGCUGGCGGCGUGCUUAACACAUGCAAGUCGAGCGGUAAGGCCCUUUCGGGGGUACACGAGCGGCGAACGGGUGAGUAACACGUGGGUGACCUGCCCUCAGCUCUGGGAUAAGCCUGGGAAACCGGGUCUAAUACUGGAUAUGACUCCAUGACGCAUGUUGUGGGGUGGAAAGCCUUGUGCGGCUGAGGAUGGGCCCGCGGCCUAUCAGCUUGUUGGUGGGGUGANGGCCUACCAAGGCGACGACGGGUAGCCGGCCUGAGAGGGCGACCGGCCACACUGGGACUGAGACACGGCCCAGACUCCUACGGGAGGCAGCAGUGGGGAAUAUUGGACAAUGGGCGCAAGCCUGAUCCAGCAAUGCCACGUGUGUGAAGAAGGCCU